rnacentral:rRNA from 1 species
GAUGAACGCUGGCGGCGUGCCUAAUACAUGCAAGUCGAGCGAACAGACGAGGAGCUUGCUCCUCUGACGUUAGCGGCGGACGGGUGAGUAACACGUGGAUAACCUACCUAUAAGACUGGGAUAACUUCGGGAAACCGGAGCUAAUACCGGAUAAUAUAUUGAACCGCAUGGUUCAAUAGUGAAAGACGGUUUUGCUGUUACUUAUAGAUGGAUCCGCGCCGCCUUAGCUAGUUGGUAAGGUAACGGCUUAUCAAGGCGGCGAUGCGUAGCCGAGCUGAGGGGGUGGUCGGCCACACUGGAACUGAGACACGGUCCAGACUCCUACAGGAGGCCGCAGUAGGGAAUCUUCCGCAAUGGGCGAAAGCCUGACGGAGCAACGCCGCGUGAGUGAUGAAGGUCUUCGGAUCGUAGAACUCUGUUAUUAGGGAAGUACAAAUGUGUAAGUAACUAUGCACGUCUUGACGGUACCUAAUCAGAAAGCCACGGCUAACUACGUG